rnacentral:other from 1 species
UAGUUGCUGUGGUAUACGAAUCUACACCAAUGUGUUGACCGACUAAAUCUUUGUAUUUCGGGAGACAAAAGUCAUCUAACAGUAUGCAGGCCGUUUCACGCGGAGCAACUUCAGUUAGAGCGAGUCGCCCACCUGCUUAAUUUUGCGGGUUCAAUACAAAACGUAGAUCACCGGUACCAAUACAGCCUUA